GAGAGCGAGGACACCAUGGCCAACAACAACGAGUGGCACCAAUGGUGAAGUUGGGUCCUUACGAUGGUGAGGUUCGGUCCAUGGUUGGUUGAGAGGAAUCUGCUGCGGAGGAAACCAUGCUGCUUUGGGGCAUUCAGCAGCCCACACUUUCCAAACCCAAUGCCUUUGUCUCUCAAGCUUCCUAUCAACUUUCGCUCGACUCUUGUGGCCACUCUCUUCAUUCUUCAAUCCCCUUCUUCCUUGUUUUCAGAUUUAAUGGUGAAAUGGCCAUCAUACCAUGAAUUGGAUAUUGUUGAAUUCAGUUCAUAGUUAGACUUUUGAUUUAAGGGGACGCCUGGAGUUACUGGAGGAGUGAGGUGGGACAGUGGAGUUGUAUUGGGGAAGUUUCUAGAGCAUUCUGUUGACUCAGGGAUGCUUGUUUUCCAGGGAAACAAUAUUGUUGAAUUGGGAUCUGGUUGUGGAUGGGUUGGGCCUUUUGGAUGGUGAGGUCAUUGUUUUUCUCUACGGGUUCUGUAACAUCCACUGAACUCACAUGGGGAGAAGAUCCUGACUCAGAACUCAUAACUCAUAACUCAUUGACCCCACACCGGAUUUCGUGCUAGGAUCUGAUGUAGUGUACAGUGAGGGGGAUGUUUUGGAUCUGCUAGAGACCCUUGUGCAGCUCUCUGGACCUAAUACAACAAUUUUUUUGGCGGGAGAACUCCGAAAUGAUGCCAUUCUUGAGUAUUUCUUAGAAACUGCAACGGAUAAUUUCACUAUCGGCCGCUUGGAUCAAAAGCUCUGGCACCCUGAUUAUUGCAGCAAUCGUGUUGUUCUUUAUGUUCUAGUGAAGAAAUGAUUCAUCAUGAAUUUAACUAUACUUUCUUUGUUAGCCCUCAAGUAUUCUGUUAUUUUCUGUCCAUGUCAGUUUGGUUUGGUUUGAUGACUUCCAAACAAAAAUUUGCGAUAUUGUGCAUUUUAAUAGGAUAGAGUGGUGAAGUUUUGGCUGGGAA
rnacentral:lncRNA from 1 species